UACGGAGGGUGCAAGCGUUGUUCGGAUUUACUGGGCGUAAAGAGCGCGCAGGCGGUCGUUCAAGUCGCGUGUGAAAGCCCCCGGCUCAACUGGGGAGGGUCACGCGAUACUGAUCGACUCGAAGGCAGGAGAGGGUAGUGGAAUUCCCGGUGUAGUGGUGAAAUGCGUAGAUAUCGGGAGGAACACCAGUGGCGAAGGCGACUACCUGGCCUGUUCUUGACGCCGAGGCGCGAAAGCUAGGGGAGCAAACGGG
rnacentral:rRNA from 1 species